rnacentral:rRNA from 1 species
GAUGAACGCUGGCGGUGUGCCUAAUACAUGCAAGUCGAGCGAACAGACGAGGAGCUUACUCCUCUGACGUUAGCGGCGGACGGGUGAGUAACACGUGGAUAACCUACCUAUAAGACUGGGAUAACUUCGGGAAACCGGAGCUAAUACCGGAUAACAUGUUGAACCGCAUGGUUCAACAGUGAAAGACGGUCUUGCUGUCACUUAUAGAUGGAUCCGCGUCGCAUUAGCUAGUUGGUAAGGUAACGGCUUACCAAGGCAUCGAUGCGUAGCCGACCUGAGAGGGUGAUCGGCCACACUGGAACUGAGACACGGUCCAGACUCCUACGGGAGGCAGCAGUAGGGAAUCUUCCGCAAUGGGCGAAAGCCUGACGGAGCAACGCCGCGUGAGUGAAGAAGGUCUUCGGAUCGUAAAACUCUGUUAUUAGGGAAGAACAAAUGUGUAGGUAACUAUGCACGUCUUGACGGUACCUAAUCAGAAAGCCACGGCUAACUACGUG